rnacentral:rRNA from 1 species
AGCAGCCGCGGUAAUUCCAGCUCCAAUUAGCGUAUAUUAAAGUUGUUGCAGUUAAAAAGCUCGUAGUUGAAUUUCGGGAUUUGACGUGACGGUCGUGCCUUACGGGGUAUGAACUGGUUGCAGUCGAAUUUCUCACCUUCUGGAGAAAUAUGAUGUCCUUAAUUGGGUGUCAUAUGGAACCAGGACCUUUACCUUGAAAAAUUAGAGUGUCUAAAGCAAGCAUAUUGCUCGAAUACAUUAGCAUGGAAUAAUAAAAUAGGACGGCUUGAUUCUAUUUUGUUGGUUUCUAGGAUCACCGUAAUGAUUAAUAGGGAUAGUUGGGGGCAUUAGUAUUCAAUUGUCAGAGGUGAAAUUCUUGGAUUUAUUGAAGACUAACUACUGCGAAAGCAUUUGCCAAGGAUGUUUUCAUUAAUCAAGAACGAAAGUUAGGGGAUCGAAGACGAUCAGAUACCGUCGUAGUCUUAACCAUAAACUAUGCCGACUAGGAAUCAGACGAUGUUAAUUUUUAAUGUACUCGUUU